rnacentral:rRNA from 1 species
UACGUAGGGUGCAAGCGUUGUCCGGAAUUAUUGGGCGUAAAGAGCUCGUAGGUGGCCUGUCGCGUCGGCUGUGAAAACUCGGGGGCUCAACUCCGAGCUUGCAGUCGAUACGGGCAGGCUAGAGUUCGGCAGGGGAGACUGGAAUUCCUGGUGUAGCGGUGAAAUGCGUAGAUAUCUGGAGGAACACCGGUGGCGAAGGCGGCAUCCUGGACCAUUACUGACGCUGAGGAGCGAAAGCCAGGGGAGCAAACGGG